rnacentral:rRNA from 1 species
UACGAAGGGGGCUAGCGUUGUUCGGAAUUACUGGGCGUAAAGGGCUCGUAGGCGGCCAACUCAGUCGGACGUGAAAUCCCUCGGCUUAACCGGGGAACUGCGUCCGAUACUGGAUGGCUCGAGUGUGGGAGAGGGAUGCGGAAUUCCAGGUGUAGCGGUGAAAUGCGUAGAUAUCUGGAGGAACACCGGUGGCGAAGGCGGCAUCCUGGACUACUACUGACGCUGAGGAGCGAAAGCCAGGGGAGCAAACGGG